CUUGUCUUCUUCAAGGAAUUCAACAAUGGAUUUCAAUUGUUUAGGUAUGAAGUUUUAAUUUAACAAUUUUUUUUCAUGUCGAAAAGUUACUGUUUGAAUAAAAAUUGCUAAUUCAUAAAAUUUGCAUGAGGGUGUUUGAUUCUCCAUCAUUCAAAACUAUUAUAAAGUUUCGAAACUUUGAAUUCGAUUUUGAGUUUUGAAAAAUAUUAUUUACG
rnacentral:lncRNA from 1 species